GUGCUUGCUUUGGCAGCACAUAUACUAAAAUUGGAAUAAUACAGAGAAGAUUAGCACGGCCCCUGUUCAAGGAUUACACAAUCUGUGAAGCAUUCCAUAUUUUA